UAAGUUUGACAAUAAGAGGAACCACUUAAAUAAAAUUAUGGUGGUGUCACAAAAUCGGAGGCCACGACUGUUUACUAAAAACACAAUUCAGAGCAAUGAUGAAAAUCAUAGUAUUCUGGAUGAAAUUUGCCCGAUGCCAUUAACAUAAAAGAGGUAAUGGGAAACUGUUACUAAUUGAAAGUCUGGUUAAUAGCGGUCUUAACUAUGAGGAUCCUAAGGUAGCAAAAUCAAUUGGCCAUUAAAUGUGGUCUGGUAUCAAUAGUGUAACGAUGGUCUCACUGUCUCUACAACUUGCUCAGUGAAAUUGAAUUAUCCGUGCAGAUGCGGAUUGCCUCCAGGUGGACGGGAA
rnacentral:rRNA from 1 species